rnacentral:rRNA from 1 species
UCCUACGGGAGGCAGCAGUGGGGAAUUUUGCGCAAUGGGGGAAACCCUGACGCAGCAACGCCGCGUGGAGGAUGAAGUCUCUUGGGACGUAAACUCCUUUCGAUAGGGACGAUAAUGACGGUACCUAUAGAAGAAGCCCCGGCUAACUUCGUGCCAGCAGCCGCGGUAAUACGAGGGGGGCAAGCGUUGUUCGGAAUUAUUGGGCGUAAAGGGUGCGUAGGCGGUUUGGCAAGUUUGGUGUGAAAUCUUCGGGCUCAAUUCGAAGCCUGCAUCGAAAACUGCCGGGCUUGAGUAUGGGAGAGGUGAGUGGAAUUUCCGGUGUAGCGGUGAAAUGCGUAGAUAUCAGAAGGAACACCUGUGGCGAAAGCGGCUCACUGGACCAUAACUGACGCUGAUGCACGAAAGCUAGGGGAGCAAACAGGGUUAGAUACCCUGGUAGUCCUAGCCCUAAACGAUGAUUGCUUGAUGUGGCAGGUACCCAAUCCUGCCGUGUCGAAGCUAACGCGGUAAGCAAUCCGCCUGGGGAGUACGGUCGUAAGGCUGAAACUCAAAUGAAUUGACGGA